rnacentral:rRNA from 1 species
GACGAACGCUGGCGGCGGGCUUAACACAUGCCAGUCGAACGGAAAGGCCCUGCUUUUGUGGGGUGCUCGAGUGGCGAACGGGGGAGUAACACGUGAGUAACCUGCCCUUGACUUUGGGAUAACUUCAGGAAACUGGGGCUAAUACCGGAUAGGAGCUCCUGCUGCAUGGUGGGGGUUGGAAAGUUUCGGCGGUUGGGGAUGGACUCGCGGCUUAUCAGCUUGUUGGUGGGGGAGUGGCUGACCAAGGCGUUGACGGGUAGCCGGCCUGAGAGGGUGACCGGCCACAUUGGGACUGAGGGACGGCCGCGACUCCUACGGGAGGCAGCAGUGGGGAAUAUUGCACCAUGGGCGGAAGCCUGAUGCAGCAACGCCGCGUGCGGGAUAACGGCCUUCGGGUUGUAAACCGCUUUCGCCUGUGACGAAGCGUGAGUGACGGUAAUGGGUAAAGAAGCACCGGCUAACUACGUG